rnacentral:rRNA from 1 species
GACGAACGCUGGCGGCGUGCUUAACACAUGCAAGUCGAACGGAAAGGCACUGCUUUUGUGGGGUGCUCGAGUGGCGAACGGGUGAGUAACACGUGAGUAACCUGCCCUUGACUUUGGGAUGACUUAAGGAAACUGGGGCUAAUACCGGAUAGGAUCUCCUGCAGCAUGGUGGGGGUUGGAAAGUUUCGGCGGUUGGGGAUGGACUGGCCGCUUAUCAGCUUGUUGGUGGGGUAGUGGAUUACCAAGGCUUUGACGGGUAGCCGGCCUGAGAGGGUGACCGGCCACAAUGGGACUAAGGGACGGCGCAGACGCCAACGGUGGGCAGCAGUGGGGAAUAUUGCACAAUGGGCGGAAGCCUGAGGCAGCAACGCUGCGGUCGGGAUGACGGCCUGCGGGUUGUAAACCGCUUUCGCCUGAUACGAAGCGGGAGUGACGGUAAUGGGUAAAUAAGCACCGGCUAACUACGUG